GGAAAGGAACCAGAGCUAAAAGAUAGAACGGGAAUGCAGUUAGAUGAGAAUCUAGUCGCGGCUCAAUUUGCCACAUAAUGGGCACAGAACUUUGCACUUCGGUUGACUUGACUAACUGACCAACUAGUUGUGAGUAUAAUGAUGGAUAGAAUAUGGGAAACAGUAGACGAUAUUCUCCAGUCUUGCGUAAUUUCUGGAUUAGUAAGAGCUAGUGUAACUAUAAGUGAGUCUCAUUCCAAGAUAACUUAAGACAGGUUUAAAGAGAGCCAAAUGAACCGCCAAUAAGGCUGCAAUAGCUUCACUAUAAACAGCAGUACAUGGCAGACUGAUAAUAGUAGAGCAUCGAAUAAUAGAACCUGUGGAAUCCCGACAAACCGCAGCUUGAGCCGAGAAAGAUUGCCGAAUAGUAGUAUCAUAAUUGAUCUUGUAGAAUGGUGGACUAGGCUUUUUCCAAACAGCUUGAUGGGGAACUAGCUUAUUGAUCCAAGCCGAAUGGUGGUUCUUAACAAUCCUGUUAAUAGUAGAAGAUAUGACUAAAGCAUUUGGAACCAGCUCCUCAUGUAGUGCUUUAUUCCUGGCAUACCAAAUUUGAUCACAUGCGACAGUAGCAAAAAUUUGAAAAAGAUGUGAAUCCGAUAUGGGGAUCCCAAUUGUCUCCAGAUGCAGAAUAAUAGACAAGUAAUCUGGCAUAGAGUUAAUAUGUAAAGCAAGGCUAUCCAUAGGCCAAAAUGAAUUUUGCCAGACUACUCGAGCUAUGGGGCAAGAGAAAAAUAAAUGUAACAGAGAGUCUGUCAAGAAGGAACAAAGAGAACAAGAUGUGUCCUUUGGGGAAGAGGGGUUGGAAUAGGAAAUACGGGUCUUUGUGGGGAUAAUAUUUCAAACCAUUUUUCAGAGGAACAAACGCAAUCUAUGAUUCGGAUUGAGUUUCCAAAGCGCUUUCCAAGUAGUUGUUGGUAAAGGAGAGAUAAUUGGAGAACAAGCUGAGGUGAGAAGGUGAUCAGCAGAUUUUGUUGAAAAAAAACCAGAAGAAGAAGGGGUCCAAAGAAGAUAAUUAUUGGUAUUUCUAAUACUUAUUUUCUGAAUUUCGAAGACAGUAACUAGAUGGAACAGAAAAGAUAGAAUAUUCAUGUUCCAAGUACUAGUUGAAGGGCAAAUGAGAUCUGCAACUAACAAAGGGUAGAGAUUAGUGAAAGUAGGGACACAGGGCAUAGGCUUGAAAUUAGAUAUAGUGGGAAUUCAAGGAGAAGACCAAACUGAUAACUGGCUGGAAAUAUAUGGAAUAUAACACAUGCCUGAGGCUAAGAGAGGCACAAUAGCUUUAAUACCAUUCCAUAUAAAAGAUCCAGAGCUCAGAGGAGAAGAUCGGAGAUUAUCAUACUUGAUAUAUUUCGUUUUGAAGAGAGAAACCCAAAGACUGUCAUGAUCUGAAAGAAUCUUCCAUCGCUGCUUAGUAAUGAGAGAUAAAUUAAUAUCCUUCAUAAGUUGAAACCCCAAUCCACCCUUAUCCUUUGGCAUGCAUAAAGAGCUCCAGGAUUUAAGAAAUAAGUUACGAGAUUUAUCCUUAGAAAAACCCCACCAUAAAUUUUUGAAGGCUAUGUUCAAUUGUUGAUGAUAUGAAAGCAAGAAAGAACUCAUUGCAUAGGAUGGAAUAGCGGAAGAAACAACCUUUACCAGAACUGUUUUGCCUGCCUGAGAUAAAGUUUUGGAUCUCCAACCUUCAAUUUUUCCCUGGACUUUAUCUAGAACAUCAAGAAAGGAUGCAUGCUUUGAUAUACUAAACAACAUAAGGAGCCCCAAGUGUUUGGCAGAAGCUGGAGUGGCCACAUAUGGAAGAAUAACCUGGAUUUCAGAGAUAGUGGAAGCACCUGUGUUCUUGUUAAAAAUAAUGGUAGAUUUAGAAAUAUUUACUGACUGUCCAGACUAGGAGCUAUAUUUAUCCAUAUAGGUUUUAAUAAUAGUAGCUUCAUUGGAAGUAGCUGAAGUAAAGAUAACCAAAUCAUCCGCAAAAAAUAGGUGAUUUAAAGGAGCGCAGGAACGAAAUAUCUUAUAGCCACGAAGGAGUGUUAAUUGUUUGUUUUCAAAACAAGUAGCAAAUAACUUCCAUUGGUGUUGAAAAUUGCAUUUCAAUGCAAUGAAUAGUUGGUGUAAUGCUAUACGUGCAUCAAGAGUCUGUCUAAUGUCCGGCUCUUGACCAAUGUGGCAUGCUUUUUGUUUUUUUAUUAAAAAACAAAAAACAAAUCGUUGAAAACGCGGGUGGGUCGACAUUUUCAGAUUCACUUUACAAAAUUUCCCCCCAUUUCCUAAAUCCCCCCUCUCCACCGACUGCUACCCAACAACCGGCAACCACUGAACUCGGACCCAGCAGACCGAGCGCCACCCACGAGCAACGCAGAUCUCCGACCAGGUCCGAUAAGGAGCGCCAGAGCUGGCCACUGCAGAUCUCCGACUCUAUAGUCAGUCUCCCCCCCCCCCCCCCCUCUCUCUCUCUCUCUUUCUCUCUCUCUCUCACAUUGCAGGCCCAAAUCUAGGAGCUCGUCGUUGUCUCUCUACAAAUCAUGCGCAAGCAGCCUAACUGCAGGGAAAAAAAAAUUCCAGGUAAACUCUUUCUCCCCCUUUCCUCUCUCUUGAGUUCUGACACGUGCACUUCACUUCCUUUGAUGUUGGUAGAUGCUGGGUUGAUGUGUUGGGCUGGGUUAGCCUUUGGAUUAUCAAUUCAGAAUUUUAGUCUAAGAAAGUCUGCUUUUUUUGUUGGAUACUCUAAUGCUGUAUAUUUCCCUGUAUUGUUGGUUUAUUUAGUUUGAAACUAGAAUCUCAGUUCCAUUAUUCUCAAUCUAGUUGGGUUUGAAACUCAGAUCUGGAUUUGGGGGGUCUGAAUCCCUAAUCCCUUGAACACCUUAUUUAGGUUUUUUGCUUUAUUUUCUUGUCAAGCUUUAUGAAAAUUGGGGUAUUCAUUUGUGGUUUAACUUUGAAUAGUUGUGAUUGAUGUAUGUAAUUAUUAGAAAAUGGAGAGUGUGGGCCGAAUUGGGGGUGAUGGUUGUUGAGCAUUUUUUUUUUGGUUGAAAUUUCCGUGUUUGUGAUGGCCGAAAGAUAAUGGUUUUUUCUAUUGAAACUUCUCAAGCGCAUUAAUCAUGGUAUGUUAAUAACCCAUUGUUGUAUUCUUUGUUGUUUGCAUUUGCUGAAUUAUAUCUUUAAAAACAAUGUAAGUCUUAAAAAAUUGUGGGAACCCAAUUCUAUGGAGAAUUUGAUUUCUCUUUUGUAUUGGUUGUAACCUUGGUCAAUUCAAUCGAUUAGCAUGAAUGUAUGGACUAAAAAAUAGUGGCCUUUUGCAUGUCUUGUGGAAUAAGAUUUCAGCAAUGGUUUAUUUCUGUGAUAGCAUCAUUUGGUGAGUAGCAAUUCAUGAGCCUAUAUGUUCUCUUUAUCAAACUUUUCAAUUUUAUAUUUUGCUCCCAGCUCAGCUUUUGAUCACUCAUCCGAUUGUUUGUUUUGAUGGUUAAAGGCUUAUGAAGACCGCGGUAAUUCAAUUUUUGAACAGAUUUAUCUAUGUUACCCUGUCUCCUUCAUUGAAGAGGGUUUGACAGUAGCCAUUGCUGAAUUUCAUUUACUUUACUAUGAGCAAUUCUAUUGGUUAAAUUGGAAAUGUCAGAAUCAUCUCUGUUAGACUCUAACUAAUUAUCCCAAUACUCUGAUUAUAAGAAUCUCUUGAAAUUGGUUGUUAGAUUUGUAAGCUUACCAAUUUGCAUUAUUGACUAAGUUGAUAUUUAUAAUAACUCAUGACAUAGAGGAAAAUACUGGUUUAUACACAUAAUUAGUUUUCAUAUUGUAUACAUGAGUUGGUCUAGUAUUUACUCUUUAGUUAGGCUCUUGAUUUUUUAUUGAUUUCCUAUUCCAAAUUUAUUAUUUCUCUGAAUCUUUGCAGGCACAUUUGGAAAAGGGUGAUAAAAGUACGUUUACUGCUAGACCAAUUCUGUGACAAUAUCCUCUGUUUAUAUGUUUAUUUUCUCUUAAUUCUUGAUAGUUCUUAAAGCUGAAGUAUUACUUAUGAGGCUUCGUUUUGCUUCCAGUUAUUAUGCCUCCCUCAGCUCUUGAUCGCCUUGGUUUGCUUUUAGCGAGCCCUAGAAUUUGUUGCUGAUGAGGGACUGAUAUAUUUACCAUGCUGGAUGAUUAAAAACGUGCUCCUACAAGAGGGAGACGUAGUACAAGUGAAGAAUGCCAGCCUUGCAAAGGAACAUAUAUGAUGCUGCAGCCCCACACCAAGGACUUCUUAGAUAUCUCCAACCCCAAAGCUAUGUUGGAAAGAUCAGCCCAUUCACUGGUUCUGGGAGACGUUUGGAUGGAAAACCCUUGACACAAUCAGCUGCAUCAGCUUCUUCUCCCAUGCUUAAGCACGACCAACCAGAGGGUCAAAAUGGAUCCAAUUAUUCUAAGCCAACAAAUCCUGCCUCACAUCAACUCUCUGGAAGGCUUGUGUUUGGUUCAAAUGCAAACAAACCUGGAAAGGAAGCACCAAAAAACAGCAAUCAAGAGCUGCCGCAGAAGAUGGAAGAGCCAAAGUUUCAAGAAUUCACUGGGAAAAAGUAUUCACUGGAAGGAUAAUCAUAGUUAAGCUUUUCUCCACCCGUCCCUUUAAUAGAUAUGAGAUAGAAUCAAGUCAUUUUGGCAAAGGAAGAUUCAUACAGUGAUCAUAUUAUUAUUGGAAUACAUGAAACGAUAUUCUCUUAUGAUAUCAUUCUUGUGAGCAACUGAAUGAGUGAUGUAUCAAUGAUGUAGCAACUGAGAAGCAUUCAGAGAAAAUAGUGACUAACCGUUAGGCAAUUUCAAGAUUUAUUUUUCUUGGAGUAGGUAAAUCUAAAGCCUAUAACAAAGUUGUAGGUGCCAACCCUUUUUCAGAUGAAGCAUUCUAAUUGUUUCUGGACUCGUCGCUUUUCUCUUAUUUUUAACGUUUUCUUGUAAGCUUGGAAACAUUAUGCUUGUGAACUUGGUUCUUGUCUGUUUGUAAUGAAUUCCAAUGGAUUUUUGUCUUA